AUCCCUAGGCCUCUAGAGAUCGUGACCUGUGAAGAGAUGAUGCCACCAUAGAGGACUUCUAAAUGUAUCCAUAAUCCUGAAACAGACCGUAUCAUGAGCAGAUGCUGUGGUGGUCAUGGAGGAGUAGAGAGCAUGAGACUGAUUAAUGAAAGACCCCAGUGACAGAUGAGUGCCCGCAUUGAUCCUGUGGUCCAGCCUGAAAACCCGCUGGUGACCUACUCACACCUGCAGCUUCUCCACGAUGGACGCCCAGUGUUCUUUAGCCUCCAGCGCCUAGACUGCAGCUCUGCACGUAAAGUGUGGCCAGAGGAGAAAUGGUUGUGCCCAACUGAGCCUGGUUUCUCUCAAGGUUUAUUCCUUCACUUUCAUCAAUUGGAACUAAAGUCUACAGCCAGUCUGAAUGCAGCAACUGAAUAAACAGUGGGGUCUUUUUUUUGGUUGAAUUGCAAUAAUAAAAAAAGAGUGUGUGGAUAUUUAGAUUACAUUUCAU
rnacentral:lncRNA from 1 species